rnacentral:misc_RNA from 1 species
AAGUUUGAAAAGGAUUUGAAUAGAGAAAACUCUCAAAACAUUUGAGAAAGAGCUGAAACACGGAAUUCCAAUGGGUCAAAACUGGAGAGUUCUCAUUCAUUGGCACCUACCACAUCUUAUUGGUCUCGGUCUACAACGGAAGAAGAAAAUGCAACCGAUGUAGGGCGUUGAUAAAGUUGCACUCAUCCCCUGACUGCAGAAGAAGAGAGAUCCAGGUCUUCUAUUUAAUGGCUUCACCCGAUGGCUUUCACGUGACACGAGUCUUCACAUAUUGCUGGAUUCGAUUGACGACUUGUUUUCAUAAAAAAAGGACAACUACGCAAGCGGACCUCAGGCGAGAGACGAUUUUGAAAAUGGUUUAUCCCGACUGCUAGUUCAGCAGACGAAUCUAGGUUUAGAACUUGAUAACAUUACUGAACAGUCAAAGCCUUCCAUCAAUUCCUGCUGAAAAAUGAAACUUCGUUCUCGGCCUACGUUAGAAGAGUCUUUGAUGGUCGACCAUCCGUGCAACUAGAACACGCCCGAAGAAAAAUUACCGACUUCGACGAAUCUUUAUACGCUCACGUGUUCACUGAAGAAGUUGAUCGUUUUAUCGUGACACGUGAUCGACAGGCAGUGCUAUUGCAGAAGAUUUUGCACUUGACGUCAUCCCCGAAUUUGUUUUCAAAAAUGCUUAUUUGGAAUUGGGUAAUUCUCUGGUGGUCCUUCAGCGAAAAUCGAUAAUUUGGCAGCCAUCGUCACUUCUGCCCCAAUUACAAGAACCCAUCCUUGCCGAUUUGUUUGAAUUACAGAAGAAAAAUCGAACGUUGGCUGAGGCUCGGUCUGUUCUCAUUUCUGCCAUAACACGUCUUCCCUCGUGAUACCAAGCCACUAAUCACAAGCAAAGUGGGCAAUCAUUCAGAUUCACACUCACAUUUCCUAAACUGAAAUUAGAAACGAAACUAAACGUUAAUCAGACUUCCGCGUCUUUGGGUGCUGUACAAGAAGGUCGGCGGUGCGGGGACCAUCAAGCAUGGUUAGACAGUCAAAAUCAAAUCAAAUGCCUUAGAUACAUCAGGGGAGGUCCUACGUGACGAUCUUUGAAACGAAGAUCUUGAAGAGACGAUCUUGUAGUGAGAAGAAGUUGUACAAGGAAGGUCAGCCAAUCGGAAGUUGAAACGCCCAACAAAGUUGGGUGUGACUGCAAAGUGGAGUGGGUAUCGGCCUUUCGUCUCAUGACCUUAUUAAUAAUAUUUAAACCUUUUCUGGUACGAGAUUGAUUUCUUUCCUCCGAUUAAUGCUUAUUUCAAGGUGAUCCCGUACACUGAUUUGGCUUUUUUUUGUUUACCUGUUUAAUUACCAUUGCCAACCUGUCGAGGAUGUUUACACCAGUUUACGCAACACGCUUAUGGGUGACAACCAACAUCUCUUUUAUGAGAGAACGAAAAACGAGGUGGGAGCAAGAGUGGACUGGUUAGUCUAUAUAAACCCCGUUUGGCUGUGGACGGGUCCAUCGAGUGUUCAACUCAAGAACGAAUUCCACCGACAUAUUUCGGCGUAACAAGUAUUUUGUACAGGUAUUUUGUACAGACAUUUUGGCGUAACAGUCGUUUGUUACUCUUCACUCAUCAACCACGAAAGAUUGCAGUUAAUUAAACAAAGACAGAGUUUGUUUCGCCAUAACAAAGAGUCUAGGGAAAGCCCCGGACAAACCCGUUCUUGUUAUAAGAACACGAAGCAUUUAAGGAAAUGUUUGCUUCAGCCAUAAUAUUUGCAGCUGCUGUCCCACUGGUAUUGGCAAACAACGCCCCAACCUAUUCUAGUGAUGUCUCCAGUACGGCCGACAAUUCGUGUGAGAAUUAUCCUCCGCUUAGUGGUGCAAAAGUUCCACAAAAUGGAAAAGCGUCUAAUUCUUCUUAUCCUGAUGAUGGCUGUGGAGACUAUUCUGUCCGAUUUAAGGGCGAUGGAUACUGUUAUUCACUUCUGAAGAAAGGACCUUGUGAGAAUGUGUUAUUUUGGAUUACGGUCGACCCGUAUACUUACGAGGGAAUAUGCACUCCUCGCCUUUGUGGCAGAGAAAAAGUGUUCGUCGGUCGAGAUGGUCUUUGUCACGAUGUUUACGAUACUAAAGAGUGUCGCGGAGGUAGGCGUCUUUAUUACUCGGCUUACGGAGAUCCAAUUUGUGAUUGUCCUAUUGGGCAAUAUCCAUUCCCAUCGGAAGAAGACGAUUGCGUUCCUUUAUUUACUCAAGGGCCGUGUCCAACCAAUCAGGUUGUAUCCGUUAGUUCAUCUGGUAAAUUAGAGUGUUUCCCCAACACUUGUCAACUUGUUGAUAGAUAUCAGGACUGCCUCCUGCAAUUGGUCCCAGUUAAACAAUCAAGAAUAAGUAACGAUGACAACGGCGAUGAAUAUGGAUACUGCUAUGGGGAGAGUGUGUUGACAUGGAUGACCCUAGAACGCCUUACUUUUCUUCUCCGGAAGAGAAUGCAAUUUUAGAUGAUGUCUUUGAUCGGGCCGCAAACGAACCCAUAAAAACAAAGAAUAACAAAAGUAAUACGUUUUUAUGUGCACAACGGUUAUCAAGAAAACGAAGACAAGGUAUCAAUACUUUUGGGAUAUUCCAACAGACAAGUAGAAUUCCAACAUCUCUCCUAAAUCCUUGUCAACCUGGCGGUCGAAACGGAAAUAAUUUCAAGUGUGCAAAUCCUUUGGUUCCUAGUAGACCCAUACGUGACGUUAGUAAGCCUGUCAGUCCUGCUUUCGGUUGCCGACCAAAUGAUUUCUUGCGAGCUACUGGACAAUGCGGUAGCAACCGUGUGCCAGCUAGCUGCGGACCUUCUUACAAAUUCAUCAAAGCUACAAACCAAUGUAGACCAAUUCGCUUUUGAAUUAAAUUCGCUUUGUAAUUAAAGAAUAUAGUGGAUAAUCCUGAAAUUCAACACAACUAAUUUCGUAAUUGAUGCGAAAAUACAAGUUUCUUAAUAUC